CCUACGGGUGGCAGCAGUGAGGAAUAUUGGUCAAUGGACGGAAGUCUGAACCAGCCAUGCCGCGUGCAGGAAGACGGCUCUAUGAGUUGUAAACUGCUUUUGUACAAGGGUAAACCUGAAUACGAGUAUUCAGCUGAAAGUACUGUACGAAUAAGGAACGGCCAACUUCGCGCCAGCAGCCGCGGUAAUACGGAGGAUGCAAGCGUUAUCCGGAUUUAUUGGGUUUAAAGGGUGCGUAGGCGGAUUGAUAAGUUAGAGGUGAAAUGUCCGAGCUUAACUCGGGAACUGCCUCUAAUACUGGUGGUCUAGAGAGUAGAUGAGGGAGGCAGAAUGUAUGGUGUAGCGGUGAAAUGCGUAGAGAUC
rnacentral:rRNA from 1 species